GUGGUAAAUCAGAGUGUACCAAUUGGUCUCUGAGAUUUCUACCCCGCAAGAAUACGGCCAAGGGAAGGUCCGAAAACACAUUACCGAGACUAUCAUCGGAUUUUAGGAUGUGCCGAUGUUUUUGAACAAUUCCCUUAAUUUGUUCAGAGCACUUUGAAUAGCGGGUAGAAGAACGCAAGAAUGCGUCUUUUUGCGAGACUGACCUUGAAAAAGGUCAUGUCUCGUUUUGUUUUGAAUUUUCUCAAUGGCAAUAUUAAUCUGAUCAUUCUUGUAGCCCCUCUCCUUGAACUUUCUUUGCGUCUCAGCCACAUUUCUGUCGAAAUCGGAUUGUUUUUUGCACAUUCUUUUGAUUCGACUGAAUUGGCUGUCGGGCAAUCUAUUUUUCAAACUAUUUCUCACCCUGCUGAGAGACGGCCAACCUGUGGCAGAGCAUGAGCUCAAAGGGGGGCAAUUGCUACGAAGGAGACUGGACGUACCAGCUGAGAAAGAGUCUGACAAUCACUGUCCAGGAGCUGAGAGAGAGACCCAACUACACCUGCACUGCCAAUCACAUCAGUAUGGACAACAGGCUGGAUGUCAGUUGGGAUAAGACUAGGAGCCAAGGGAUGCUCUGAGAUACAGUAUCAUCAGAUUAUGUGCUUUUUAGCAACCAUUAUGGUCCACCUCUGUUAGAGGUUACAAAUUACAAAGUUGUUGCAAUAAAUAUUAGUAAUGUAAUACUGUCAUGUAUACAUAAUUUUUUACAAUGUAAUGUAAUGAUAAUAUUGUGUUUGUAUUCAUUGACAGUUCCUGAUACUGGCCCAGAUAGCGCCUCCAUCAUUCCAGUAGUCCUGGUAAUGACAGUCGUGUUAAUUCUGAUUGGGAUCCUUGUUGUUUUUGGCAUGUGGAAGUGGAAACACGCAGGCGUUCCUACAUAUUCUGGACAUAUAUACUCUGCUGCCAAAGAUACUGAGACAGAACAGAGCAACUCUUCUUUAGAGACAGAAUCAACAGAUUCUUGAUACUACUGUAUCAUCUACUCAUAACAUCUCUGCUGAAGAUGAAAGGAAGUGGAUGAUGGUCACCUAUUUCAAAAGUAAAAUGAACAAAUCCAUAACUAAUCCUCAAGCAAGCUUUUCACUCCAGCAAUGUUCCAGGGUAACUCACUAAUAUGGUUAAUGGCACAGGGAUAGCCUAAACUGGGAUUGAUUUCAUCAACAUACAAGUCUUUUAAUUUUUUUUAAUUUGACCUUUAAAAUAUAUAUAUAUGUGUACAAUUUCAUAAGACAAAUCAAAUACAACGUUAAAGAAUAAGUCCAUCCAUUGUAUUGCACCAUGAACUUUUAAUGAUUGCUACAGUCCUCAUUUAAGUCUGAUAUCUGGAACUGUAGCCUAUAACCUGUAGUGUAUUGCCAGUCUUGCAGUGUCUGCCUAUUAUCAAAAAAUUACCACAAAUGGAAAUAAAUCAAAUGAAAAAUAAUCUAUAAUUGUAUU